rnacentral:rRNA from 1 species
GACGAACGCUGGCGGCGUGCUUAACACAUGCAAGUCGAACGGAAAGGCCCUGCUUUUGUGGGGUGCUCGAGUGGCGAACGGGUGAGUAACACGUGAGUAACCUGCCCUUGACUUUGGGAUAACUUCAGGAAACUGGGGCUAAUACCGGAUAGGAGCUCCUGCUGCAUGGUGGGGGUUGGAAAGUUUCGGCGGUUGGGGAUGGACUCGCGGCUUAUCAGCUUGUUGGUGGGGUAGUGGCUUACCAAGGCUUUGACGGGUAGCCGGCCUGAGAGGGUGACCGGCCAAAUUGGGACUAAGAUACGGACCAGACUCCUACGGGAGGCAGCAGUGGGGAAUAUUGCACAAUGGGCGGAAGCCUGAUGCAGCAACGCCGCGUGCGGGAUGACGGCCUUCGGGUUGUAAACCGAUUUCGCCUGUGACGAAGCGUGAGUGACGGUAAUGGGUAAAGAAGCACCGGCUAACUACGUG